UGACAAGAGGGGGUCACACUUUUAGAAGUGAUACAAUCGAAGUGAUCCAUGAACACAAACAAUCUGUACUUUCUGGUCGCGUGGUGAGGCAUACGAUUGACUUGGAUGAAAUUUCCGGAAUGUUCGCCUCUGUUCCGCCUAUAAUGUGGACUACACUUAUUGAUAAGACCACCUUUCGCGCAAUCGUACUGUGCUCAAGACUGUUUUGCCGGGCGAAGAAAGAGGGAUACGAUGGUUUACAAACAGAUUAAAUAUAUCCCCGAGAUUGUUUGAAGUGUGCGAAUAGUUGGCAUCGAUUGUUGGCAAGUAGGAAGACUUGAACGGAAGCCGCGUGAGCGUCUUUGUUGUUACUUCCGGCGGCUACAUACAUCCGAACCGAAAUGAGAAACCUACUGUAUGUGCGGGAAAGCCCGUCGCCCCGAGAUAUGAGCAAUGUUUUUUUUUUUUUUUUUUUUGGACCCGAAAGCCGAAAAGUCAAUGUACCAGAGUAACACGCACGCACUGGGGUAUAUGCUACAAGAUACUCUCAUUUUUCACAGGCAAACCUUGGGAGAUGUGUUUUUGGUGUGUUUGCUAACGAGCAGCACUGCCGGAGAGAAUCGGGUCACUACCACCACCACCAGCACCACCUUUCCAUCCGUUUGUUUAAAACGCUCGCCCCUUGCUAUACGCUAGUGAACGCAACUGAUUUCUUAUCGCAGGCUAGGCACGAAAAUACAACCAUAACGCGCCAUCGUAAUGAAGAGAUCGACACAAAAAUGGAGGUGUGCCAGAAGAAAGGGAGGAAAGCGCCCGGAGGAGCAGCCCGGUGGCGGGGCCGGCGAAGGCGACAAAGCGUGUUAGGCCCUUAUCAAGCAAUUCCUUUAUGAAUGAGCGCUCUUGCUAACCCAAGUGCACCCAAGCCAGCAGAAGCAGCAGCAGCAGCAGCAAGUGUGGGGUGUGCCUGUACCCACAGUAGAACGAUCGGCGGCGUUGCUGACUUUUGCCGCCGGGUACUACCGAUAACAGAUAAAACCGCUUUUUGUCGUUCGUGCACGCCCGCGGUUCGAUCGAGCAAUUGGAGCUUUGGGGAAUUAAACGGGAAACCCAUUCACAGCCGAGGAGGGAAGAACAUGCCCUCCCCUUGUAGUGACAGCAGGGAGCAUCGGAAGAUUGCAUCAUUUCAGGCAACACACAUCGGUCGACCGCGAACUGUGCUGCAACGAAUGCAAGGUAUGGAAAUAUGUAGAUGUUUACAAUUACUCAUGAUACUUAAAAUGCACCUUCUUCAUCAGCAAUCAGUUUCAACGCGAUGUCACGCAAAACACCCCUGAAUGAACGGUUUGUUUUCACACAGCGAGUGUUUAAAUGGUAAAAGAUCAAAUUGGUUACGCUAUUUUCUCCAUUGUCUCCAAUGCGCUGGUCAAAUCAAUCCAAAAAGCCUUUCGCCCGCAAAGCAGUGCUGGCGGGGCUUGCUUUGAUCUGGGCGCAGAGAGUGUGAAAUCAAUGCUGCGCGAGACCACCACCAUUGACGAAUUUCUCAUCUACGCAACCGAGCUCGCUGGUGGCGAGAAGUGGAAGAAGCGUUCCCUCUUUUUACUUUUACCAAUUGUGCUUCUGUUAUCUUUUUUUCGGGCUCUCCAUUGUCAGAAGGAGGACCAUACUUUCGAGACAGUCAUGGUGCGUAAUUGACGUCGAGUUUUUAUUUGGGUUUGUAACUGUCAUUAAACUAAUGAUUAGUUUUUGUUUUCAAUUCUCAACUACAAUUGAUUAUAUCGUAUGAGAACAUAUUUACACAGUUAAUAUUAAAACUAACAUAAACUCCAAAACUAGAAGUGAGUUGACUGGUAACGUUGCACGGGUUACAGGGUUUAACACACACACACACUCGUAAAAUGCCGAUCGUACAAAGAUCAUCU